rnacentral:misc_RNA from 1 species
GAGAGAAGGACGGACGUGAGGACCGCAAAUCGGCUCCCACUCUCUUUCUGUAUUGAGCGCCUCAACUCACGCACGGCCACAUCCACCUAUUCCCACCGCAACCCCCCCCCCAGCAGCGAGCUCCCGCUAGCUUCGCGAGCUUCCGCGCCGCUUAUUGUGCUUCUCCUUGUACAGCAGUUUGCUGUUUACCAACGGCCAUUUCUACUGCUUGUGUGUUACCUGCUGCGGUGCUUUCUUUCGUUUCACCGACAUCCCCGGUGGCUCUAAGCAGACGAAUCGAGGAAGCUGUUGAACGAGUGCGUACCCCCCAAUCCGUGUGUGAGCGGCGUCAUCGCUUAGUUGUUUUCUCACUCUUGUCUGAAACACGUUGCAUGGGGCCGUCCACACAAACACAGACAGAUACACACACAGGCCUAUUUGUCAUGUGGCGCACACUAGCUCGCCGUGCUGAGCUCUCUCUCUCGAAACUCGCCCUUCUCUCGUGUUCACGUUUAGCUGGUCCAUGAGGUGUGCGCUCUGAGACACUACCCUCGCUCGGCUUCCCUGUACUUCCCUCCACCCCCUGUUGUGCUCCUUCGCCUCUCCUUCCCUUCCUUUCCCUCCCCUCCGAAACAG